rnacentral:lncRNA from 1 species
UGGAAACGUGCCACCCACAGGUCUUGCUCUACUCCAGAAAACCAUCACUUUGAGCUCCUUCAACCCCACCUGCGUUGGGCACUGCCCAUUCUUUGUACCCUGCGAUGGCCCCCGUGUCACACGUGGCACUUGUGAAGACUUCUUGACAUAACCGUCUUUCUUCUGAGACCUUGAGCACCCCCUGGACUGCUGGGGUUUGAUUCCUCUUGCGAAUAAAUAAAGUAGGACUUUGUGAAGAUGUUGCUCAAGCCACGUCUGAUGCUCUACGUCAAUUGAUUGUCAUUGGCCUGUUGAGAGGCCGUCUUCAGGGCCCUCGGCCCUUGCGGUGCUCCACUCUGAGAAUGGAUUACUGGGCAAUGUGCAUCCUCUUGGUUCAUCACACAAUUGUCUUCUGGCAGACCCUGCAUGUAAUUCACGCCUUCUUGGGAAGGCCUAACCCCAAGGAGAGUGCUGCGGAAGGCACUGCUUUGUCCUGAACCAGAACCCGGCAAAUCCAAGCACCCUUCUCUCUUCCUCACCAACAAUCAAGUUAUUCUUACAAAUAAAGGUUCGGCCUGGGUAUCGUUAAAGAUAACCUUUGUGCAAGUGAAGUCCGUCUUUCUCUCAACAUCAUCAGUAUUUGGGGAGGAGUGAGUGACCCCUGGGAGCAGGGAUGCAGAGAUCU